rnacentral:lncRNA from 1 species
AUCCUCAAGUAGCUACAUGGUGAGUUAGUUCCAGGCCGGCCUGGGCUACAUCAGAGCCUGUCUCAAAGAAUAAAAGAGAAGAAAUAGAAAAUGUCCACGAUAAAUUUCUAGUUGCCUCACUUGUUGGGGAGGUUCCGUUGUGUAGAGUACGCUAACUCUGAGUGCAGUAUCCCUGAUUGGCUCUUCAGGUGAUGGGACGACAGAUCUGAACCGGGUAGUGUCAUUCUCUCUAAAAUCCCCACUCCAGAACUUCCUUCCUCAGUCUCUUCUUGCCAUCCUCACAGAGAAGGUGAUGUGAACUAACUCAGUUUCCCCACUGCCUCCCAGCUUCCCCACAUACCUAGGGGCUUUUUACAUUUAACAUAGCUACACCAUGGAAGCCAUUGCUAUGGCUUUGGAGUUAGUGUGGUGGAAACUCCUUGUGUGAUGGGCCUUUGAAGAAAUAGGGCUGAAUGUGAGGUAACUGGAUCAAUGGAGAACGGGUGGUGUAGAAUCUUUGUACCAGUCUUACACUCUGAUUCGAUGUGUGAUAUUUCUCUCACAGGAACAUACACCCACCUUUUCAAGGAUGUCUGCUUUUCGGCAGAUUGGUCCACGCCCCUCCUGUGCCCAUGAGCUUCCAGAGCUGUGAGGUCUCCCCCACCCACAUUGGGAUCCACCUGUUCCAG